rnacentral:rRNA from 1 species
GAUGAACGCUGGCGGCGUGCCUAAUACAUGCAAGUCGAGCGAAUUGAUUAGAAGCUUGCUUCUAUGACGUUAGCGGCGGACGGGUGAGUAACACGUGGGCAACCUGCCUGUAAGACUGGGAUAACUUCGGGAAACCGAAGCUAAUACCGGAUAGGGUCUUCUCCCUCAUGGGAGAUGAUUGAAAGAUGGUUUCGGCUAUCACUUACAGAUGGGCCCGCGGUGCAUUAGCUAGUUGGUGAGGUAACGGCUCACCAAGGCAACGAUGCAUAGCCGACCUGAGAGGGUGAUCGGCCACACUGGGACUGAGACACGGCCCAGACUCCUACGGGAGGCAGCAGUAGGGAAUCUUCCGCAAUGGACGAAAGUCUGACGGAGCAACGCCGCGUGAGUGAUGAAGGCUUUCGGGUCGUAAAACUCUGUUGUUAGGGAAGAACAAGUACGAGAGUAACUGCUCGCACCUUGACGGUACCUAACCAGAAAGCCACGGCUAACUACGUGCCAGCCGCCGCCGUAAAAC